rnacentral:tRNA from 1 species
AUUGUGGUCUAGUGGUUAAACAUCCGCCUUGUUUGGCGGAAGACCCAGGUUCGAAUCCUGGCAGU